UGCAUGGUAUCAAGCAGGGAGUUCUUUGUUUGGAGAACGAUUCCAUCAUCUCAGAAAGGAUGCGAAGGACAGAAUAGUAGAAACCCGUUUUCAAGCAGGUUGUGUGGUGACAUUCCCCUUAUGAGGACAUAACCCAGAUCAUACAGUAAAGGUACAGACUCUCGUCCAAUUAUGAGGACAAUGUAGUUAAAAUAAUCACAUAUUUCACAUGUCUUAUCUCUUCAAUGGCACAUUUUGGAAUGUUAACGGGUUCAACUUCUUUGAUCUAUGGCUCUUCACGUUCGGCCCUCAUUAUGGAUCUUUUCGAAAUCCUGAUAGUAGCCAGAGAAUUUGCAACAGUGGACGGCCUCUAUAGUAGCCUACUGUACAGAUAACUUACUGCAACUGUGAAACUCUGAAUUAGUGAGAAGUCGGUUGGUUAAUGAAGAAAGAAACACAGCCACUCAUGUUAAGUUGCGGUAUAGCCCUACCCUCUAAGAUUGCAUUGGAUAAUGUGUUAUGCAUAGUCUUGUAAUUUGUUAGUGAGUUGUCUAACGUCUAAAUCAUCUUCAACGAUUUAAGUGUACAAUCUUGCCCUUUUUACAUAGGCCCUGAUCGAGGUUCUUACACGAUGACUACAAUUCCCAGCAUCCUCUGUACGAGUCAGUGGAAUGCGGGGUCGGGGUCUGCUCCAAGCAGUCUUGUCUGAACUGGAGCUCAAGCUCGGUUCCUGGGAGAGUCAGAGUGCGACCGGUAGUGUGAGAUGCCGUGGAGCUUUGGAUGUCACGGAGCAGCUGGGUAGACGAUGCAGAGCCCACGAGGACGCAAGGCACAUCUGGACUUGAUCGAUCGACUACAAGGACCAGAAUUAGAAUUUUAGCAACAGCUGUAGAAUUUUCUGAAAUUCUACCAUUCGGCUGUAACGGACAGAGGCAUGUUGCCUGAUUGUAUCUGAAACCGAUGUUAAAAAGUGUCCAGACCUCGAUGCUUAAAACGACAUACGGACUUCGAUGGUCAAUGGUAAAUUGACAAGAAGAAGCGCUGACGAUAACGUUUCAUACAAUUUGGAGAGGUGGAUCAAGAUUUGUGAGGUGUGUAAGGGCCUUAGUUUUCUGGGCGCCGCUGGAAACCGAUGCAGUGGGAGAGAACUCCAGAGCCACGCAUUUAAUCGGGACAUCUUCUUCCUUCAUCUAACCCAGCGUGUGUGAUACACACACACACACACACACACACACACACACACACACACACACAGAGAGAGAGGCCUGCCAGCAGUCACCAAUGC
rnacentral:lncRNA from 1 species